GAUGAACGCUGGCGGCGUGCCUAAUACAUGCAAGUCGAGCGAACAGACGAGGAGCUUGCUCCUCUGACGUUAGCGGCGGACGGGUGAGUAACACGUGGAUAACCUACCUAUAAGACUGGGAUAACUUCGGGAAACCGGAGCUAAUACCGGAUAAUAUAUUGAACCGCAUGGUUCAAUAGUGAAAGACGGUUUUGCUGUCACUUAUAGAUGGAUCCGCGCCGCAUUAGCUAGUUGGUAAGGUAACGGCUUACCAAGGCAACGAUGCGUAGCCGACCUGAGAGGGUGAUCGGCCACACUGGAACUGAGACACGGUCCAGACUCCUACGGGAGGCAGCAGUAGGGAAUCUUCCGCAGUGGGCGAAAGCCUGACGGAGCAACGCCGCGUGAGUGAUGAAGGUCUUCGGAUCGUAAAACUCUGUUAUUAGGGAAGAACAAAUGUGUAAGUAACUAUGCACGUCUUGACGGUACCUAAUCGGAAAGCCACGGCUAACUACGU
rnacentral:rRNA from 1 species